rnacentral:rRNA from 1 species
CCUACGGGGGGCAGCAGUGGGGAAUAUUGCACAAUGGGGGAAACCCUGAUGCAGCAACGCCGCGUGAGCGAUGAAGGCCUUCGGGUCGUAAUGCUCUGUCCUAAGGGAAGAAUACUGACGGUACCUUAGGAGGAAGCCCCGGCUAACUACGUGCCAGCAGCCGCGGUAAUACGUAGGGGGCUAGCGUUAUCCGGAAUUACUGGGCGUAAAGGGUGCGUAGGCGGCCCUUCAAGUCAGAGGUGAAAGGCUACGGCUGAACCGUAGUAAGUCUUUGAAACUGUAGGGCUUGAGUGUAGGAGAGGAAAGUGGAAUUCCCAGUGUAGAGGUGAGAUGCGUAGAUAAAGAGAGGAGCAGAAGUUGCGAAGGCGGCUCUCUAGUCUGUAACUGACGCUGAGGCACGAAAGCGUGGAUAGCGAACAGGAUUAGAUACCCUGGUAGUC